UCACAAGAUGAGAUAUUCGUCGCCCCAGUCUGAAUCCCUUUUCAGGGUGAUGACUGAUUGACAUACAUAGCCAAACACUGAAAAUUCUGAUU
rnacentral:snoRNA from 1 species